rnacentral:rRNA from 27 species
CCUGGUGUCUAUUGCGCUGUGGAACCACACUGACUCCAUCCCGAACUCAGAGGUGAAACGCUGCUGCGGCCACGAUAGUCUAGGGGUUGCCCUACGCCACAAUAGCUCGAUGCCAGGU